UGAGCAAUCUGCCCUUCUCAUCGGAAUAAGCGUUGGAAACGACGUCUAAUGCCGAAUACGACCUCCUUUCGCAUGAUCGGAGGUGGAAAGCUCCGGCGGAGAAGGAUGAGCUCGCGGCCUAUCAGCUUGUUGGUGAGGUAAUGGCUCACCAAGGCGACGACGGGUAGCCGGCCUGAGAGGGUGACCGGCCACACUGGGACUGAGACACGGCCCAGACUUCUAGGAGG
rnacentral:rRNA from 1 species